UGCAUUUCGGAGCCGAGAACGACGAGUUUAUCUGUGAAGACUCAGAGAGGACUGAUGGGAAAAUAUGCAAUGAGCCGCUACGUCAGCCAGCCAGGAUUGGUGUGCUGAAGAGAAGAGAACAAAAGAGCUACUCACUCCCCCCUGCUGCACUACUCCUAGAGGAACUUUGACCCCCCCCCACACACACACGCGCUCACUCACACACACAAAGAGGCACAGAGAGGGGCAUGGGGGUGGUGGGAAGCACAGACGUAGGCUGCAACCCGGGGAUCUGCUUCUUCCACCGGACAUUCACAGCAACAGCAACCUCGUCGCCUCAACACGACAGUUGGCAGCUGAAUGCUCGGUGUAAUCCUAAAGCUGUUAGAGCAGAAGGAGGGGAGACAGUUUGGGGAAUUCACAAUAAGAAACAAGCCUGCAAACAGAAGCUGAAGAAACAGACCCCGAGCACAAGGAGAGAUGGAGAAUCCUACGUUCAGAAGGGCCCCUAAUGGGCCCCUUCUGUUGAAGGCAGAGGCAGAGGCCGAGGCUCAAGCCCUUGCCCCUCCUCUGGCGGCCAAGCAGCCAGAGGAGGGGCAGGAGGGACAAGCACUUGUUGGCUUCGGGGACUUUACAUUUGAGACCCUGCAGAGCCUGUACGAGUUUGAGGACUCCAAAAAUAUCCGGCCUCUUGGUUCUACGCUUGCGGCCUUUGUCUCCGGGCAGCAUUCUCUGUCCGCGGUGGAAAUUAAAAAAGAUUGUCCCUAAGCCG